GAUGAACGCUAGCUACAGGCUUAACACAUGCAAGUCGAGGGGCAGCGCAGUGCAGCAAUACACGGGCGGCGACCGGCGCACGGGUGCGUAACGCGUAUCCAACCUUCCCGUUACUCUCGGAUAGCCUUCCGAAAGGGAGAUUAAUACGAGAUGGUGUUGAAAUUCCGCAUGUUAUUUCAACUAAAGAUUCAUCGGUAACGGAUGGGGAUGCGUGACAUUAGGUAGAUGGCGGGGUAACGGCCCACCAUGCCCACGAUGUCUAGGGGUUCUGAGAGGAAGGUCCCCCCANACUGGAACUGAGACACGGUCCAGACUCCUACGGGA
rnacentral:rRNA from 1 species